CAGGCUCUGGAACACGGGAGC
rnacentral:miRNA from 1 species